rnacentral:rRNA from 1 species
GACGAACGCUGGCGGCGCGCUUAACACAUGCAGGUCGAACGGAAAGGCCUGCUUUCCCUUGUGGAUUGCGGGUACUCGAGUGGCGAACGGGUGAGUAACACGUGAGUGAUCUGUCCCCAACUUGGGUAUAAGCCUGGGAAACUGGGUCUAAUUCCCGAUAGGACUGCAGGGUGGUGCCUGUGGUGGAAAACGAUUUUCUAGUGGUUGGGGAUGAGCUCGCGGCCUAUCAGCUUGUUGGUGGGGUAAUGGCCUACCAAGGCGGCGACGGGUAGCCGGCCUGAGAGGGUGGACGGCCACAUUGGGACUGAGAUACGGCCCAGACUCCGACGGGAGGCAGCAGUGGGGAAUAUUGCACAAUGGGCGGAAGCCUGAUGCAGCGACGCCGCGUGGGGGAUGACGGCCUUCGGGUUGUAAACUCCUUUCGACCGCGAGGAAGCCACCUGGUUGGAAGGGUGGUGACGGUAGUGGUAGAAGAAGCACCGGCUAACUACGUG